rnacentral:rRNA from 1 species
CAACAGGGAUUGCCCUAGUAACGGCGAGUGAAGCGGCAACAGCUCAAAUUUGAAAUCUGGCUCUUUUAGAGUCCGAGUUGUAAUUUGCAGAGGGCGCUUUGGCUUUGGCAGCGGUCCAAGUUCCUUGGAACAGGACGUCACAGAGGGUGAGAAUCCCGUACGUGGUCGCUAGCUAUUGCCGUGUAAAGCCCCUUCGACGAGUCGAGUUGUUUGGGAAUGCAGCUCUAAAUGGGAGGUAAAUUUCUUCUAAAGCUAAAUAUUGGCCAGAGACCGAUAGCGCACAAGUAGAGUGAUCGAAAGAUGAAAAGCACUUUGGAAAGAGAGUCAAACAGCACGUGAAAUUGUUGAAAGGGAAGCGCUUGCAGCCAGACUUGCUUGCAGUUGCUCAUCCGGGCUUUUGCCCGGUGCACUCUUCUGCAGGCAGGCCAGCAUCAGUUUGGGCGGUGGGAUAAAGGUCUCUGUCACGUACCUCCUUUCGGGGAGGCCUUAUAGGGGAGGCGACAUACCACCAGCCUGGACUGAGGUCCGCGCAUUCGCUAGGAUGCUGGCGUAAUGGCUGUAAGCGGCCCGUCUUGAAACACGGACCAAGGAGUCUAACAUCUAUGCGAGUGUUUGGGUGUCAAGCCCGAACGCGUAAUGAAAGUGAACGGAGGUGGGAACCCGCAAGGGUGCACCAUCGACCGAUCCUGAUGUCUUCGGAAGGAUUUGAGUAAGAGCAUGGCUGUUGGGACCCGAAAGAUGGUGAACUAUGCUUGAAUAGGGUGAAGCCAGAGGAAACUCUGGUGGAGGCUCGCAGCGGUUCUGACGUGCAAAUCGAUCGUCAAAUUUGGGCAUAGGGGCGAAAGACUAAUCGAAUC